rnacentral:rRNA from 1 species
GUGAAAAAAGGUAUGAUUUGGCGUGUGGGUAAUGGUGAACAUAUACGAGUUUGGAGGAACCCUUGGUUCCCUCGAGGGCCUCCAUACAAGCCAAUUCUGACGAAAAGGAACUGCCGUCUGAGUAGAGUUUCGGAGUUCCUAGAUGACCAUGGUUACUGGCGUCUUGACCUUUUGCAACAAUACUUUUGUCAGCCAGAUAUAGAGUCAAUAUUGAGGAUUAGGACAUCCUCACGGCAGCAGGAAGAUUUUGUAUCUUGGCCAUGGGAUAUCUCCGGUCAUCUUACAGUGAAAAGUGCUUACCAUUUU